rnacentral:lncRNA from 1 species
UCUUUGAGAUCUACCAAAUCUGUGGAUAUGCAAUACACUGAAGUGUGGAGAUGGAAUGAAGUUGAAAGGAUUCAUGAAUAAAAUUUGCUGCCGCCCUGUUCAGCUGGACUGUGAACUGAGGCAACUCUCUCCUACCAUGUUGUUCAACAUCACACGAUCGCUUUCUCAGGAGAUAGUUCUCCUAAAACACGGCAGAGUUCAGCUCACUGGAGGCUGUGGCAAAACCGUAGCAAG